rnacentral:sRNA from 1 species
AUCGGCGGCGCAGUAUUCUAGUCAGAUCUGCCGUUUCCUAGGGAGGGCCUAAAAAUCCUCUGAAGGGCAUAUCGAUGAAACCUCUGGUGCUUGCUUGAUACGCCCAGUUUUGGGUGGGUGCUGGGGGGAAGCGCUUUCUGCGCUUGCGAACUCAGGGCGAUUUCCAAUGGCAUGGAUAACCCGACCCUGUUUUCGUGGAGACCUGUUCUUGUGCAUAGACGUACUCCCACUGUGGUAUUUUCGGCCUGUGUACGAAACAGAUUGUGAACCUGCAAUGCGGUGCAUCGGUCCGUUGGGGCCGUAACGCUGUGUGUAGAUGUAGCCUGCCUUGCGUGGGGUGGGUGAAUGGAGGAACUACGCGGCGGCGCUCUGGCCAGAGCCUUUCCGCGAUCGCCUCCUGAAACCCGGUCUGCAAAAGAGGCUAAAGAAACGGACGGACUGCGGUGGAAAUCACCUAGGCUGUCUUCGUGGGGCAAAAAAGGGAUUGCAGUGCGGACUAAGUGGCAGUCGGGCAGCGUGUUCGGCAACGGCGUGCCGCGGCACCGAAGGGGAAACCGCCUCCAUCGGCAACGAGAGGUGUGUCGUGGGGAAAACCAGCCCGUACCUAAGCCGUAAGAUUUACCUUUUUUGCUGCCGCCG